CGAACGGGUGAGUAAUAUAUCGGAACGUAUCCAAUAAUGGGGGAUAACUAAUCGAAAGGUUGGCUAAUACCGCAUACGCCCUACGGGGGAAAGCUGGGGAUCUUCGGACCUGGCGUUAAUGGAGCGGCCGAUAUCUGAUUAGCUAGUUGGUGAGGUAAAAGCUCACCAAGGCGACGAUCAGUAGCUGGUCUGAGAGGACGACCAGCCACACUGGAACUGAGACACGGUCCAG
rnacentral:rRNA from 1 species